ensembl:snRNA U1 U1 spliceosomal RNA
AUACUAUCCUGGCAGGGGAAAUACAGUGAUAGAGAUGGUGGUUCACCACAGGCACAGCUGUCAUUGCACUCCGAUUGUGCUGACCACUGCACAUUCCCCAAAAGUGGGAAUCUUGACUAAGUUUUGGUAGUGGGUGACUGUGUUUGUGCUCUCCCCUG